rnacentral:rRNA from 1 species
AGCAGCCGCGGUAAUUCCAGCUCCAAUAGCGUAUAUUAAAGUUGUUGCAGUUAAAAAGCUCGUAGUUGAAUUUCGGGGUUAGUAGGUUGGUCAUGCCUCUGGUAUGUACUGGUCUCACUGAUUCCUCCUUCCUGAUGAGCCGUAAUGCCAUUAAUUUGGUGUUGUGGGGAAUUUGGACUGUUACUUUGAAAAAAUUAGAGUGUUUAAAGCAAGCUAACGCUUGAAUACAUUAGCAUGGAAUAAUGAAAUAGGACGUUUGACUCUAUUUUGUUGGUUUCUAGGGUCGACGUAAUGAUUAAUAGGGAUAGUUGGGGGCAUUAGUAUUCAAUUGUCAGAGGUGAAAUUCUUGGAUUUAUUGAAGACUAACUACUGCGAAAGCAUUUGCCAAGGAUGGUUUCAUUAAUCAAGAACGAAAGUUAGGGGAUCGAAGACGAUCAGAUACCGUCGUAGUCUUAACCAUAAACUAUGCCGACUAGGGAUCGGAUGAUGUUAAUUUUUAAUGACUCAUUCGGCGCCUUAA